rnacentral:tRNA from 1 species
GCCUGGAUUGCUCAGCCGGUAGAGCAUCAGACUUUUAAUCUGAGGGUCCAGGGUUCAAGUCCCUGUUCAGGUG